UAGGGAAUCUUCGGCAAUGGACGAAAGUCUGACCGAGCAACGCCGCGUGAGUGAAGAAGGUUUUCGGAUCGUAAAACUCUGUUGUUAGAGAAGAACAAGGACGUUAGUAACUGAACGACCCCUGACGGUAUCUAACCAGAAAGCCACGGCUAACUACGUGCCAGCAGCCGCGGUAAUACGUAGGUGGCAAGCGUUGUCCGGAUUUAUUGGGCGUAAAGCGAGCGCAGGCGGUUUCUUAAGUCUGAUGUGAAAGCCCCCGGCUCAACCGGGGAGGGUCAUUGGAAACUGGGAGACUUGAGUGCAGAAGAGGAGAGUGGAAUCCCAUGUGUAGCGGUGAAAUGCGUAGAUAUAUGGAGGAACACCAGUGGCGAAGGCGGCUCUCUGGUCUGUAACUGACGCUGAGGCUCGAAAGCGUGGGGAGCAAACAGG
rnacentral:rRNA from 1 species